GACGAACGCUGGCGGCGUGCUUAACACAUGCAAGUCGAACGGAAAGGCCCUGCUUUUGUGGGGUGCUCGAGUGGCGAACGGGUGAGUAACACGUGAGUAACCUGCCCUUGACUUUGGGAUAACUUCAGGAAACUGGGGCUAAUACCGGAUAGGAGCUCCUGCUGCAUGGUGGGGGUUGGAAAGUUUCGGCGGUUGGGGAUGGACUCGCGGCUUAUCAGCUUGUUGGUGGGGUAGUGGCUUACCAAGGCUUUGACGGGUAGCCGGCCUGAGAGGGUGACCGGCCACAAUGGGACUGAGAUACGGCGCAGACUCCUACGGGAGGCAGAAGUGGGGAAUAUUGCACAAUGGGCGGAAGCCUGAUGCAGCAACGCCGCGUGCGGGAUGACGGCCUUCGGGUUGUAAACCGCUUUCGCCUGUGACGAAGCGUGAGUGACGGUAAUGGGUAAAGAAGCACCGGCUAACUACGUG
rnacentral:rRNA from 1 species